GAUGAACGCUGGCGGCGUGCCUAAUACAUGCAAGUCGAGCGAACAGACGAGGAGCUUGCUCCUCUGACGUUAGCGGCGGACGGGUGAGUAACACGUGGAUAACCUACCUAUAAGACUGGGAUAACUUAGGGAAACCGGAGCUAAUACCGGAUAAUAUAUUGAACCGCAUGGUUCAAUAGUGAAAGACGGUUUUGCUGUCACUUAUAGAUGGAUCCGCGCCGCAUUAGCUAGUUGGUAAGGUAACGGCUUACCAAGGCAACGAUGCGUAGCCGACCUGAGAGGGUGAUCGGCCACACUGGAACUGAGACACGGUCCAGACUCCUACGGGAGGCAGCAGUAGGGAAUCUUCCGCAAUGGGCGAAAGCCUGACGGAGCAACGCCGCGUGAGUGAUGAAGGCCUUCGGAUCGUAAAACUCUGUUAUUAGGGAAGAACAAAUGUGUAAGUAACUAUGCACGUCUUGACGGUACCUAAUCAGAAAGCCACGGCUAACUACGUG
rnacentral:rRNA from 1 species